rnacentral:rRNA from 1 species
AUUGAACGCUGGCGGCAUGCCUUACACAUGCAAGUCGAACGGUAACAGGUCUUCGGAUGCUGACGAGUGGCGAACGGGUGAGUAAUACAUCGGAACGUGCCUAGUAGUGGGGGAUAACUACUCGAAAGAGUGGCUAAUACCGCAUGAGAUCUACGGAUGAAAGCAGGGGAUCGCAAGACCUUGUGCUACUAGAGCGGCCGAUGGCAGAUUAGGUAGUUGGUGGGAUAAAAGCUUACCAAGCCGACGAUCUGUAGCUGGUCUGAGAGGGCGAUCAGCCACACUGGGACUGAGAAACGGCCCAGACUCCUACGGGAGGCAGCAGUGGGGAAUUUUGGACAAUGGGCGCAAGCCUGAUCCAGCAAUGCCGCGUGCAGGAUGAAGGCCUUCGGGUUGUAAAUUGCUUUUGUACGGAACGAAAAGCCCUGGGUUAAUACCCUGGGGUCAUGACGGUACCGUAAGAAUAAGCACCGGCUAACUACGUGCCAGCCCGCCGCAGUAACAC